CCCAAACAGCACAGUACGUUUUGAGUACGUACAAUUUUGGUACUGUACGUACAUGAUGUAAAAUGUACGUUUUAAGUACGUACACUGGGGUACAUACCAGUACGUACAGAAGAGUACGUACUAAGUACGUACUAUUACGUCCAAGUAUGUACCAUGACAAAGAAGAGCUAAGGCAUAUUUAUUAUGUCAGGUUAUGUUAACCUAACCUAAUUUAUUUGGUUAGGAACUUUCCUUCCAGCUCGAGUACAGUUUUGAUGUGAUAAUUCAUUGCAAGACAGUUUCAUUUAGAUUUUUUUUUACUUAUUUUUGGUGUUGGAGCUUAGUGUGGUUUCCUGUUAUCUUAUUGAGAAGCUGCAAUAAAAAGUGAAAAAUGUAGUGAUAAGAAGGUGGCGGAGCAAGAAAUUGGACGAUGGUUGAGGAGAGCCGGGGAUCGCUUAAAAACUUUCAAGGAAAAGGAAUCAGAAUAAAAAUUGAAUUUAUUUAUUUUUUAAAUAAUAAAGAUAUAUUCACCUA
rnacentral:misc_RNA from 1 species